GGGAUAAAUGCCUCUCCAUAGUCAAGUGUCUAGAGUAGGGCCGGAGCGUGGGAAACUCUGCGAUCACGGUAGCGGCCAUUUCUAAGGGCUGCAAGCUCUGACAGCUUAUGAGCGAGGACUUCAAAAUGUGUUUAACGUUUGAGUAAAGACGGCCUACAGUUCUCAGACCGACCGGCGCUGAAAAACCGCAGAGACAGCCCGAGCGUGGCUGUCCAGAUGUGGCUGAUCGUUCCGCCUGCAGACUUCAGGAGACGGAUAACUAGGACGGCUGGGGCUGCAGAAACCAUGGAGCAGUUUUUACGAGUGACAGCGCACAAAUGCCGGGAAAGCUUGUUAAAAAAGGCCCACGGAGGCGGCAGGUCCAGGGUGCGGCUCAGACUUGACGGUGAACAAGCGCGGUGACCCCGCAGUGCACGGGCGGAAGCCUGCGCUGGGGGUUAACGGUUAAGGAACGCGGCAUCGAGGCCGGCAGAGCUGCAGUGCUCAGAAGGGCCGGGAGCAAAGGCCACACUACACCCGCCCUCGCCUGCUCCAACUCGCCGCCGCCGCCGCCGCCGGAAGCCUGAGCCCGGGCCCGCCGUCCGGCCGGAAGCAGCCCGCCUCGUGAGCCCCGCCCGGCGUCCGGCCGCCCAACCCCGCGGCCAGAACAGAACGUACCUGCCUCAAGUCACCUGCUCCACCUCCGCGAGACCCGGCUGCAGCGCCCCCGCGUGAGGCUACUGAGCCAGCCAGGGCCCCGGCCACCGCGUGGAGCUCCGCGGGGCGGGGCGGGACGAAGCUGCCCACGUGACCCGAGCGCGGGUGACCCCGCCCCCGGGAGGGCAUCUGGGGUUUAGCUGGCCGACGACCCCACCUGACAGCGGCCGCCAACCACCCGCGCUCCGCCGGGACUUCCGAACUGACAGUCUUAAUCGUGUUUGACAAACGUGGAACUCCAAGUCCUGGGCAUGAAGCAAACGAAACACAAGCUGGCCAUAAGUGGGGUGUGGAGAAAGGAGUGUAGUCAGUGAACACCAGGAUAGUCUGCCCUGAGCCUGAAGCAAAACACCGGCCAUUAGUACUGAGCCAGGCUUAGCAAAUACGCACAGAGCUACGUGGGCCCAGCAAAGGCACAGCCCAGAACGCCUUAGGUGAUGUGGGCCUUAGGGCGCAGACUGCUGCUCCUUGACCUUGAACCAUGUUCAGAACAUAUUUAUUCUACCACACCGGGACUCAGCAGAG